AUUGAACGCUGGCGGCAGGCCUAACACAUGCAAGUCGAGCGAGCGGCGGACGGGUGAGUAAUGUAUGGGGACUGCCCGCUAGAGGGGGAUAACUACUGGAAACGGUAGCUAAUCACGCAUACUAUCGGAUAACCCAUAUGGGAUUGGCUAGUAGGUGUGGUAAUGGCUCACCUAGGCGACGAUCCCUAGCUGGUCUGAGAGGAUGAUCAGCCACACUGGGACUGAGACACGGCCCAGACUCCUACGGAGGCAGCAGUGGGGAAUAUUGCACAAUGGGCGCAAGCCUGAUGCAGCAAUGCGGCGGGUAUGAAGAGGGUCCUAGGGUUGUAAAGUACUUUCAGUCGGGAGGCGUUACCGACAGAAGAAGCACCGGCUAACUCCGUGCCAGCAGCCGCGGUAAUUC
rnacentral:rRNA from 1 species